AUUGGUGCCAUUAGGGUUUGUAAUAUGCAUGGGAUAUCAUAUUUGGUUAUGGCAUAAGGUUAAAAAUCAACCUCUAACAACAAUUAUUGGUACUAAUGCCAAUGGAAGACGUUUGUGGGUUGAAGCCAUCAUGAAGGAUAAUGAGAAGAAAAACAUCUUAGCUGUCCAAACACUAAGAAACACAAUAAUGGGAGCAACCUUAAUGGCUACAACAUCAAUCCUUUUAUGUUCUGGUCUUGCAGCUGUAAUAAGCAGCACUUAUAGUGUUAAACAACCACUAAAUGAUGCAAUUUAUGGUGCACAUGGUGAAUUCAUAGUGGCACUAA
rnacentral:misc_RNA from 1 species